AAGUGGAGCAAUCCAUGAGUAAAGUGGCGACCGGGUGAGUAACACGUGACUACCUGCCCUUGAGUGGGGGAUAACCUCGGGAAACCGAGGCUAAUACCGCAUAAUAUCGCAAGAUCAAAGGAGCAAUCCGCUUUUGGAGGGGGUCGCGGCUGAUUAGCUAGUUGGUAAGGUAACGGCUUACCAAGGCGACGAUCGGUAUCCGGCCUGAGAGGGCGCACGGACACACUGGAACUGAAACACGGUCCAGACUCCUACGGGAGGCAGCAGUGGGGAAUUUUGCGCAAUGGGGGAAACCCUGACGCAGCAACGCCGCAUGGAGGAUGAAGCCCCUUGGG
rnacentral:rRNA from 1 species